GCCUCCUUAGCUCAAGCGGUUGAGCCCCCUGCAAACGGCGCCCAAGCGAAUUUGGGUGGUCGCGGGUUCGAUUCGCUAAGGAGGUA